AUUACCACAGGAUGAGAGCUGAUUUGCCUAAGCCUGAAAAACCUUUCCUUUCUUCCCAGCCCCAGGACUAGAAGAGCAGGUAAGGGCACAGUCCCAUCUGAUGAGAACACCCCCCGUUUCGGGUUGGUUCCUGGCACUGUUCACUCGGGGAGCUGCUCCCUCUCCACAGAGAUGUCAUGGCUCCUGGUGAGGUGAUCAGGGAACCCUAUUCCUAGUUGCUUCUCUCUUAAGUUCUCUCAAAGUGGGAAAGCAAGGGUUGAGGCUGGUGGUUUGUCUGUGGCUUUGCCCCAAAUCAAGCUGACUUUCAGCCGCAGGCUACGAUAUAAUCCUAGUGGAAGUGAUUAUUUGUUUGCAAGAUCUUUGGACACUGGGAAGAGGGGUGCUAUAGGAAGCCUUGGGAACACUGCAGAGAAUGGGGAAAAGUAAAGAAGAGAAAAGAGCCUGUUGAGCACCUACUGUAUUCUGUACAUUGUUAAAUCCUUUAUGUAUACCAUAUUGUUUGGUCUUUAUAGCUUCUCUGAGAAAUAGAGAUCUCCAUUUUAUUGGAGAGCAAGGCAAAUGUUGGUUAGCGGCCAAACCCAUCCAGUUAGUGGAUGGCUUUCUAUUGCCUGAAGGGGCACCCUGUUCACUUUCUGUCACAGGGAAAAAGAAAUGUAGCUGGAGUAGAGGAGCAAGGAGAGGGAAGAGAAGGAGAGGAGAAAGAAAAACUUAAAAAAAAAAAAAAAAGAUGAAUGUGAGAGAGCGCUGAACCUUUGCCAGUGGUUGUUAGACGUUAAUGCUAUCUGAAGUGAGGGUAACCCCAAGAAAAACUGGAAACUAGGCACACCUUGACUCAUCUUCCAGCUUCUGGGUCACACUGGGUCAUCUAUGCCAUUUUAGGAGGAGCCUAGUUUUUAGAAACUGUUUGGUAGAUUCUCGACUUAAUGCUUAUCCUGCCCAGAGACAUUGCUUUGUAAUAGGAAAAUUUCACCCAAAGUAUUGUAAGUCUGAACCUUUGAGAAGAGAUCAUUUCUUUGCUCAGUCGGUGAUCCAGUUUCCAAGUUAGCCUUGGAAGCAGGAGGUCUGCGUUUCUUUGCAGAAACAACUCUCUAAGUAUUGACUUCAGUUUCUACAGUAUUCUGUUUUUAGCUUCCUGACACACUGCUUACUGCUUUUCACUCUGGUGGAACCAAGAGGAACUCCUUCCCCCAGGCAGCCCUUCCCAAUCUCUGUAGCUAUCUGACUUAAAGGUCGGAAAAGAUGUUUCGUUUUGAUUUCUCAUGGUAAAAACGUUGAGACCUCAUUCUAAAUUUAUUUCUGGGAAUAGGUCCAUCAGCUAUCUAUUUGUUAAUGGAUUUACCGCAGUCUAGCUUGACAUCUGAGCAUAUGGGCUUUGCUCAAAAAGUAGAAAGACAAAAUGACAAGGACAAAAUUCAUCUAGGGAGGAAAUGACAUUAAUAAAUUUGGAGUAUUUUUUAAAUGUUAAAUUCAUUUGGGGUUGUUAUGGUAUGACUAUUCGUGUCCCCUCAAAAUUCACGUGUUGAAAACUUACACCCCCCAAGGUGAUGCUAUUAGGUGGUGGGGCUUUUGGGAGGUGAAUAACACAAGAAGAUGGAACCGUCAUGAAUGGGAUCAGGGCCCAUAUAAAAGGGAUCCCAGAGAGCUCCUUCCCACUUCCACCACGGGAGGACACAGUGAGAACUUAGCAGAAGAGGGACCGCAGCAGACACCAAUCUUGGAUUUCUAGUCCCCUCAACGGUGAGCAGUAAAUCUGUUGUGUAAGCCACAAAUCUACCAUAAUUUGUUGCCGCAGCCCAAACAAACCCUGACAGGGGUAUUUGAGAUGCACUGCACGUCAUAUUAUGGAGAACAGUAUUUCUUAAGCAGAGAAAUGGAGUAUUUCCGUAUUCAGCAUGCAAGUAAAACCAGAUCAUAGUUUUGAAUCGGAAGAACAGCUCCAUUUUUUAUAGAUUUACCAUACAGGCAUUAUGCUGUGGGUAUUAUGAAUUUUGAAUAUGGGGAACAAAGAUUGAAUAAAGAUUUUACUUUUUUUCCCCCUAUGCCUGAGGAGUCAUUUCAUUUUCUGGGUCAGAGGCUGUGAGGCCAUAGAAAGCACCACCUCAGAUAUGACAAAAUUCUUAAGUCCUCCCCGCCCGAAGGGGAUUGUGGCUCACCAGCCAUUACCAUGGAGAAGUAAGAUACUUAAAACCUACCUAAAUAAAAUGAAGUGACAAGAAGAAAAAAGGAAAACAAAAGCUCCACAUGGCCAAGGGAGGUUUUGUUGAUGAAAUGGAAGCUGGUCGUGGAGACACAGGAAAUUUACUGUUCACACAGGUUUCAUCUCUGUGGCUCACUGAAGCCCCAUGGCAUGCCUAUACAGGACACAACUGUGGGCCAGGACUUGAAGAACCAUCUCAUCUGUUCGAUAUUUUCAUAGUGGCUCAUCUGUUCCCAUUUUUGAAGACGUGGAACUUUUCCAAAAAAGCCAAAUUUCAUUGUAUAGGCUUUCUAAAGAGUUUGAUGCCAUUUUGGUAUUUUGGAUUCUCAACUACCUAUGAAGUCUAAACAAAUCACUUUUGAGGCAGAUUCUCCUCAUGGAACACACCCAGGUUAUCAGUCACCAGGGCCUGUCACCAGCCUCUGCUGUCUCAUCUUGUCCCUCCAGGCUGGAUGCCUCCUUCCUAAUUCUCCCUUUGCCACAUGUCUGAACAUACCACGGAUCUGGUGGAUAAAGAGCGGCUGCCUGGGGCUGGACCCUUCCUCCAUGGAAAGAAAGAGCAGCCUGUAUAGAAUGUCAGGGCAGGCAGCCUAACUCAGGCCUGACUCAUUUCUUUGUGACCUGCAUUCUCGUUUCUCCUUGAUGAGCCUGGUGUGCUGGCCCCACUUGUGGAAAUAUGUGCCCGGCUCCCUGCUUCAAUUUCAAGAGGGAAAAUCCCUUCUAAGAGGCAUAUUUAGAAGAUUACAUCAUGGACUUCCUGGUACAGAAUGGUUUUGCUCCCAUUAGAUGAAAGAGUUUUUUUCCAGUUACUAUGCCCCAGCCACCUCCCACCUUCCCAUUCUCCCAAUUUGCUUCUGGAUGUUUCUCUCUUACCCUGAUUUUAUUCCAGUGGGAUUAUCAAUCAAAAGUUAGAGCCCAGAAUCCAUCAGCAUUAUCAAUAAAACUUUGUAACUAUU